UACGUAGGGGGCUAGCGUUAUCCGGAAUUACUGGGCGUAGAGGGUGCGUAGGUGGUUUCUUAAGUCAGAGGUGAAAGGCUACGGCUCAACCGUAGUAAGCCUUUGAAACUGGGAAACUUGAGUGCAGGAGAGGAGAGUGGAAUUCCUAGUGUAGCGGUGAAAUGCGUAGAUAUUAGGAGGAACACCAGUUGCGAAGGCGGCUCUCUGGACUGUAACUGACACUGAGGCACGAAAGCGUGGGGAGCAAACAGG
rnacentral:rRNA from 1 species